GUUCCCCUGCGCUGUUGGUGAUCGGCGGAACAUUUUGAGCCAACUCUAAUGAUAAGGGCGGCUCCGCUGUCUCCGGAAAGGAAUGCGGCCAAGGCCAUAUUCCUUGAAAGGGAUAUGAGAUCUGCCCACCUAACGCAGUUAGGUUCUAUCAUUUCUGCUGACACGGCAGGGCGGGGGAUCU
rnacentral:other from 1 species